rnacentral:rRNA from 1 species
GCUUGCUCCACCGAAAGAAAAGGAGUGGCGAACGGGUGAGUACACGUGGGCAACUGCCCAUCAGAAGGGGAUAACACUUGGAAACGGGUGCUAAUACCGUAUAACAAUCGAAACCGCAUGGUUUUGAUUCUGAAAGGCGCUUUCGGGUGCCGCUGAUGGAUGGACCCGCGGUGCAUUAGCUAGUUGGUGAGGUAACGGGUCACCAAGGCCACGAUGCAUAGCCGACCUGAAGGGUGAUCGGCCACAUUGGGACUGAGACACGGCCACAACUCUUACCGGGAGGCAGCAGUACCGGAAUCUUCGGCAAUCGGACGAAAGUCUGACCGAGCACGCGCGUGAGUGAACGCAAGGCCCGGAUCCGAAAACUCUGUCCGGCAGACGAAGAACAAGGAUCGACAGUCAACCUNGGGACGGCCCCNUUGAACGGGGCGGUCUAAAGCCAGAAAAANGGCCACACGCGGCUCAACUCAACGUUUGGCCCAACACCAGANCCCGCGCGGUCAAUCAACGUCCACGGUGGAGCACACCGCGGUCUCAGGCACCGGGAACNCACUCUCNGGCGCCNAGUUCACACACCCGCGACGCACCAAAAGCAGCGCA